rnacentral:rRNA from 1 species
AGAAUCAACGCUGGCGGCGCGCUUAACACAUGCAAGUCGCACGAGAAAGGGGAGCAAUCCCUGAGUAAAGUGGCGCACGGGUGAGUAACACGUGGAUCAUCUACCUCUUGGUGGGGAAUACCCCUGGGAAACCGGGGAUAAUACCGCAUAAGUUCGUGAGAAGAAAGCCGAAAGGCGCCGAGAGAGGAGUCCGCGGCUGAUUAGCUAGUUGGCGGGUAACGCCCACAAGGCGAAGAUCGGUA